AUUGGAUCCAGACUUUGAUCCUGGCUCAGGACGAACGCUGGCGGCGCGCCUAACACAUGCAAGUCGAACGAGCGAGAGAGAGCUUGCUUUCUCGAGCGAGUGGCGAACGGGUGAGUAACGCGUGAGGAACCUGCCUCAAAGAGGGGGACAACAGUUGGAAACGACUGCUAAUACCGCAUAAGCCCACGGCUCGGCAUCGAGCAGGGGGAAAAGGAGCAAUCCGCUUUGAGAUGGCCUCGCGUCCGAUUAGCUAGUUGGUGAGGUAACGGCCCACCAAGGCGACGAUCGGUAGCCGGACUGAGAGGUUGAACGGCCACAUUGGGACUGAGACACGGCCCAGACUCCUACGGGAGGCAGCAGUGGGGAAUAUUGCACAAUGGGGGAAACCCUGAUGCAGCGACGCCGCGUGGAGGAAGAAGGUCUUCGGAUUGUAAACUCCUGUUGUUGGGGAAGAUAAUGACGGUACCCAACAAGGAAGUGACGGCUAACUACGUGCCAGCAGCCGCGGUAAAACGUAGGUCACAAGCGUUGUCCGGAAUUACUGGGUGUAAAGGGAGCGCAGGCGGGAAGACAAGUUGGAAGUGAAAUCUAUGGGCUCAACCCAUAAACAGCUUUCAAAACUGUUUUUCUUGAGUAGUGCAGAGGUAGGCGGAAUUCCCGGUGUAGCGGUGGAAUGCGUAGAUAUCGGGAGGAACACCAGUGGCGAAGGCGGCCUACUGGGCACCAACUGACGCUGAGGCUCGAAAGUGUGGGUAGCAAACAGGAUUAGAUACCCUGGUAGUCCACACCGUAAACGAUGAUUACUAGGUGUUGGAGGAUUGACCCCUUCAGUGCCGCAGUUAACACAAUAAGUAAUCCACCUGGGGAGUACGACCGCAAGGUUGCAACUCAAAGGAAUUGACGGA
rnacentral:rRNA from 1 species